AAAUAGCAUAAAAUAUUUCUAGGCAUAGUAAAUCAAAGCAAUCGAAGCUCAAAAUGUACAAUCAUUUACCAUGUAAGACAAGAUGGACACAUAAUUACAAGGCAAAGAUUCAAAGUGAAACCUAAUGCUUCAGAUUCGAACAAUGAUUUGUUUGUGUAAAAAGGUGAUUACACGCAAUAUUGCGCUGUCUUAAAUUCUUUAUUAGAUACACCUCUCUGUUUCUAACACAUGAUACUGUACUCUAUACAGGCUUUGGAUUUGACAACAUUCUCUCUUACAUCGAACUGAGGUAUCUAGGAGAGGUAUGCUGGCAGAAUCUAACUACCAGAACCAAGAGAGGUUUCUCCUAUUGAUUUAUAAAGGGAGUUAGAAAUUUGCUUACAAGAUUUCUUGCUUAGGAAGAGCUCAACUAGAGAAGGUUAAAAACAAACUCCUAUUUCGUUUUUCAAUGCAGAAAGGCUUGCAUGUUGCUCAAGGACUGCUGAACAUUCAUACGUCAAGCAAUCUCACAUUUCAACUCUAGCGAAAUCUUACAUUGGUUUAACCAUAUAACUCUUCAUAUGGUGGAUAUUGGUAAGCAAGACAUUUUCAAUUACUAGAUUUUAAGAAUACUCAAAACAGCACUUUAGUUGCACUAAAUAGGACUCGUAGUUUGCAAGUUGUUUCAACUAACUAAGCCGAUCAUAUUCCUUCAAUCCCUUAAGAGUGUGCAUCACUUUUAGUAGCACAAGUUUUAAUAAAUGUUAUAGAUAAGUUUGUUAUGAGUAGAGAAAUGGAGUCUACUUUUAUUGUAGUAUUAUGAUAGUGGAAAUAAAAAUAAGGGAUUUGUGGUGGGC